CCUACGGGAGGCAGCAGUAGGGAAUCUUUCACAAUGGGCGAAAGCCUGAUGGAGCAACGCCGCGUGCAGGAUGAAGGCCUUCGGGUUGUAAACUGCUUUUAUAAGCGAGAAAUAUGAUGGUAACUUAUGAAUAAGGAUCGGCUAACUACGUGCCAGCAGCCGCGGUCAUACGUAGGAUCCGAGCAUUAUCCGGAGUGACUGGGUGUAAAGAGUUGCGUAGGUGGCAUAAUAAGUAGAUAGGGAAAUCUGGUGGCUCAACCAUUCAGACUAUUAGCUAAACUGUUAAGCUCGAGAACGUUAGGGGUAACUGGAAUUUUUAGUGUAGGAGUGAAAUCCGUAGAUAUUAGAAGGAACACCAAUAGCGUAGGCAGGUUACUGGGACGGUUCUGACACUAAGGCACGAAAGCGUAGGGAGCAAACGGGAUUAGAUACCCUUGUAGUC
rnacentral:rRNA from 1 species